rnacentral:rRNA from 1 species
ACAAUGAAGAGUUUGAUCCUGGCUCAGGAUGAACGCUAGCUACAGGCUUAACACAUGCAAGUCGAGGGGCAGCAUUUUAGUUUGCUUGCAAACUAAAGAUGGCGACCGGCGCACGGGUGAGUAACACGUAUCCAACCUGCCGAUAACUCCGGAAUAGCCUUUCGAAAGAAAGAUUAAUACCGGAUAGCAUACGAAUAUCGCAUGAUAUUUUUAUUAAAGAAUUUCGGUUAUCGAUGGGGAUGCGUUCCAUUAGUUUGUUGGCGGGGUAACGGCCCACCAAGACUACGAUGGAUAGGGGUUCUGAGAGGAAGGUCCCCCACAUUGGAACUGAGACACGGUCCAAACUCCUACGGGAGGCAGCAGUGAGGAAUAUUGGUCAAUGGGCGAGAGCCUGAACCAGCCAAGUAGCGUGAAGGAUGAAGGCUCUAUGGGUCGUAAACUUCUUUUAUAUGGGAAUAAAGUUUUCCACGUGUGGAAUUUUGUAUGUACCAUAUGAAUAAGGAUCGGCUAACUCCGUGCCAGCAGCCGCGGUAAUACGGAGGAUCCGAGCGUUAUCCGGAUUUAUUGGGUUUAAAGGGAGCGUAGGUGGAUUGUUAAGUCAGUUGUGAAAGUUUGCGGCUCAACCGUAAAAUUGCAGUUGAAACUGGGAGUCUUGAGUACAGUAGAGGUGGGCGGAAUUCGUGGUGUAGCGGUGAAAUGCUUAGAUAUCACGAAGAACUCCGAUUGCGAAGGCAGCUCACUAGACUGUCACUGACACUGAUGCUCGAAAGUGUGGGUAUCAAACAGGAUUAGAUACCCUGGUAGUCCACACAGUAAACGAUGAAUACUCGCUGUUUGCGAUAUACAGUAAGCGGCCAAGCGAAAGCAUUAAGUAUUCCACCUGGGGAGUACGCCGGCAACGGUGAAACUCAAAGGAAUUGACGGGGGCCCGCACAAGCGGAGGAACAUGUGGUUUAAUUCGAUGAUACGCGAGGAACCUUACCCGGGCUUAAAUUGCAACAGAAUAUAUUGGAAACAGUAUAGCCGUAAGGCUGUUGUGAAGGUGCUGCAUGGUUGUCGUCAGCUCGUGCCGUGAGGUGUCGGCUUAAGUGCCAUAACGAGCGCAACCCUUAUCUUUAGUUACUAACAGGUGAUGCUGAGGACUCUAGAGAGACUGCCGUCGUAAGAUGUGAGGAAGGUGGGGAUGACGUCAAAUCAGCACGGCCCUUACGUCCGGGGCUACACACGUGUUACAAUGGGGGGUACAGAAGGCGGCUACCUGGUGACAGGAUGCUAAUCCCAAAAACCUCUCUCAGUUCGGAUCGAAGUCUGCAACCCGACUUCGUGAAGCUGGAUUCGCUAGUAAUCGCGCAUCAGCCAUGGCGCGGUGAAUACGUUCCCGGGCCUUGUACACACCGCCCGUCAAGCCAUGAAAGCCGGGGGUACCUGAAGUACGUAACCGCAAGGAGCGUCCUAGGGUAAAACUGGUAAUUGGGGCUAAGUCGUAACAAGGUAGCCGUACCGGAAGGUGCGGCUGGAACACCUCCUUU